rnacentral:tRNA from 3 species
GGCGGGGUAGCUCAGCUGGUUAGAGCGUCGGAUUCAUAAUCCGGAGGUCAUGGGAUCAUGCCCCAUUCCCGCUA